UACGGGGGGUGCAAGCGUUGUCCGGAAUUAUUGGGCGUAAAGGGUAGGUAGGUGGUCUCAUUUGUCUGGGGUGAAAGCCUUGAGCUUAACUCGAGAAGUGCCCCGGAAACGGUGAGACUGGAGUCCUGGAGAGGGUCGUGGAAUUCCCGGUGUAGCGGUGAAAUGCGUAGAGAUGUGGAGGAAUACCGAUGGCGAAGGCAGCCCCCUGGGCCAAUACUGACGCUCAUGCACGAAAGCGUGGGGAGCAAACAGG
rnacentral:rRNA from 1 species